UGCCCUAGUAACGGCGAGUGAAGCGGCAACAGCUCAAAUUUGAAAUCUGGCUCUCGGGCCCGAGUUGUAAUUUGUAGAGGAUGCUUUUGGCAAGGUGCCUUCCGAGUUCCCUGGAACGGGACGCCAUAGAGGGUGAGAGCCCCGUCUGGUUGGACACCGAGCCUCUGUAAAGCUCCUUCGACGAGUCGAGUAGUUUGGGAAUGCUGCUCUAAAUGGGAGGUAUAUGUCUUCUAAAGCUAAAUACUGGCCAGAGACCGAUAGCGCACAAGUAGAGUGAUCGAAAGAUGAAAAGCACUUUGAAAAGAGAGUUAAAAAGCACGUGAAAUUGUUGAAAGGGAAGCGCUUAUGACCAGACUUGGGCUUGGUUGAUCAUCCGGCGUUCUCGCCGGUGCACUCUUCCAGUUCAGGCCAGCAUCAGUUUGCCUCGGGGGAUAAAAGCAGCGGGAAUGUGGCUCCUCCGGGAGUGUUAUAGCCCACUGCAUAAUACCCUGUGGCAGACUGAGGACCGCGCUUCGUGCAAGGAUGCUGGCGUAAUGGUCAUCAGCGACCCGUCUUGAAACACGGACCAAGGAGUCGUCUUCGUAUGCGAGUGUUCGGGUGUCAAACCCCUACGCGUAAUGAAAGUGAACGCAGGUGAGAGCUUCGGCGCAUCAUCGACCGAUCCUGAUGUUCUCGGAUGGAUUUGAGUAAGAGCAUACGGGGCCGGACCCGAAAGAAGGUGAACUAUGCCUGUGUAGGGUGAAGCCAGAGGAAACUCUGGUGGAGGCUCGCAGCGGUUCUGACGUGCAAAUCGAUCGUCAAACAUGGGCAUG
rnacentral:rRNA from 1 species